CUACUGGAUAGGCUCGUCGGUCCCAAGUGGUCCUAAAGUGGUCUUAAUCUUCCUAUGAAGGUUCAUGCAUCUUCACAGGUUCAGAGGUUCACAAGGGAGGCUGUGAUGGAGGGGGCCUCGAUGGACCGUAACCUUAUCUCUUUUACAAUCUACUAGAACAAAUGAGCCUCACCAGCAGUUUACACUAAGCUGUUUUUAUUUACAUAAAAUAAAACAAGGUCUAUUCAAAAAGAAUAUUAGAUGUCAUUCUCUUUCUUAAGUGUCCUGUCAGCUCUCUGGUGCAAUCGCUCUAUGCGAAUGGAGUUCGGGCUUUUCUUCCUCAGAAGGAAGAGGCUUUAGUGACUUCAGCUCUGCCUCUGAUUCCGAAGAGUCUUAAAAUGUCUGCUAGCAAGCAUCUCCUUUUAUACUGUCACAGUGGCCGUUAGGGGAGGGCAUAGAAAAGCCCGGGAGAUUCAAAGCCAGAAGCUGCUCUCUGAUUGGCUUAUUUAAUUGUCUAAGCCAAAGGCCAUUAAUAGGCACAGCAACUGUGAGGGAAUUUUCUGUCACAGAGGCUACACUUAAUGAUCCACCUAGAGUAAAGGGUUUAGGAGCUGGGACAUUUACAUCUCAUUGACUCUCUGCAUACUUACCUAAUGAACCUGUCCAGAUUAGUACCAUGUAUUAGAACUUGGGGUCAUCCAAGGAAGCCAUGUGACUGAAAAUUCAGAAAACUGGUUCCUGCUGUUGGGGAACAUAAAAGAUGCCAUUGUCCUAAGUCAUCAUUCAUUGUGGGAAUAAAAUGCUGGACCAGAUAAACCUAGCAUAUAUCUUCUUAUUUUUUUAGCUGAUAUUGUACUACUGAUUUACUUAAUUUAUAAUCUAUUUAAUAAAAUCUCAAGCCC